rnacentral:rRNA from 1 species
AUCGAACGCUGGCGGCAGGCUUAACACAUGCAAGUCGAACGGCCAUGCGCGGAUAUCAGUGGCAGCCGGGGGCGUAACAGGUGGGAACGUACCCUUCGGUUCGGAAUAACGCAGGGUAACUUGAGCUAAUACCGGCUAAGACCUCUUGGGGAAAGGGUUACUGCCGAAGGAGCGGCAGGAGUCUGAUUGGCUGGUUGGUGGGGUAACGGCCUACGAAGGCGACGAUCAGUAGCUGGGCUGAGAGGAGGAUCCGCCACACUGGGGCGGGGACACGGCCCAGAAUCUUACGGGAGGCAGCAGUGGGGAAUAUUGGACAACGGGGGCAAGCCUGAUCCAGCCAGGCCGCGUGAGUGAUGAAGGCCUUAGGGUUGUAAAGUUCUUUUGUCCGGGACGAUAAUGACGGUACCGGAAGAAUAAGCCCCGGCUAACUUCGUG